rnacentral:rRNA from 1 species
GACGAACGCUGGCGGCGUGCUUAACACAUGCAAGUCGAACGUGAUUUUUGUGGAAAUUCUUUCGGGAAUGGAAAUGAAAUGAAAGUGGCGAACGGGUGAGUAACACGUGAGCAACCUACCUUACACAGGGGGAUAGCCGUUGGAAACGACGAUUAAUACCGCAUGAGACCACAGAAUCGCAUGAUAUAGGGGUCAAAGAUUUAUCGGUGUAAGAAGGGCUCGCGUCUGAUUAGCUAGUUGGAAGGGUAAAGGCCUACCAAGGCGACGAUCAGUAGCCGGUCUGAGAGGAUGAACGGCCACAUUGGAACUGAGACACGGUCCAAACUCCUACGGGAGGCAGCAGUGGGGAAUAUUGCACAAUGGGGGGAACCCUGAUGCAGCGACGCCGCGUGAGCGAAGAAGGUUUUCGAAUCGUAAAGCUCUGUCCUAUGAGAAGAUAAUGACGGUAUCAUAGGAGGAAGCCCGCU